UUCUGCAGACCCCCUGUCUUACAUGAGAUGGUGUUAAUUGUUUCCGGAAGGAGGAUAACUGGAGUGACAGGAGGUACUGGUCAGUAUCCUGAAUUAUUGGAGUGUAGACCCAGGAACACAAAUGGGCAAUACUCUUCUCUUUGGAGAAAUGGCAUGGGAAGAAUACCAGCCUGACACUCCUUGAUAUCUGGAUUUUAAUCCUGGCUCAACCAGAAUUGGUCAGUGUGACCCUGGGAAAGACGAAGAAGGUGGGAUCGAACACUUACUCUACACCAGGUACUCGGUAUCAUGUGUGUUGUUCCUUGCAAAACAUUAUGAGGUGAA
rnacentral:lncRNA from 1 species